GAUGAAGAACGUAGCGAAAUGCGAUAAGUAAUGUGAAUUGCAGAAUUCAGUGAAUCAUCGAAUCUUUGAACGCACCUUGCACCCUUUGGCUAUUCCGAAGGGUAUGCCUGUUUGAGUAUCAUGAACACCUCAACUCUCAUGGUUUGCCAUGAUGAGCUUGGACUUUGGGGGUCUUGCUGGCCUGUGGUCAGCCCCUCUCAAAUGGAUUAGCUUGCCAGUGUUUGGUGGCAUCACAGGUGUGAUAACUAUCUACGCUUGUGGUUUUCCACCAGGUAACCUUCAGCAAUGGGGGUUCGCUGGGGCUCAUAAAUGUCUCUCCUCAGCGAGGACAGCUCUUUGAACGUUUGAUCUCAAAUCAGGUAGGACUACCCGCUGAACUUAAGCAUAUCAAUAAGCGGAGGA
rnacentral:misc_RNA from 1 species